AUUGAACGCUGGCGGCACGCCUAACACAUGCAAGUCGAACGGUAGCGCGGAAUGUAGCAAUACAUUCUGGCGACGAGUGGCGGACGGGUGAGUAACGCGUGGGGAUCUACCCCGAAGAGAGGGAUAACCCUGGGAAACUAGGGCUAAUACCACAUGAGCUCUGAGGAGGAAAGGGUUGGCGUAAGCCAAUCGCUUUGGGAGGAACCUGCGUCGGAUUAGCUAGUUGGUAGGGUAAAGGCCUACCAAGGCGAUGAUCCGUAGCUGGUCUGAGAGGACGAACAGCCACACUGGGACUGAGACACGGCCCAGACUCCUACGGGAGGCAGCAGUGGGGAAUAUUGGACAAUGGGGGCAACCCUGAUCCAGCGAUGCCGCGUGUGUGAAGAAGGCCUGCGGGUUGUAAAGCACUUUUGUUGGGGAAGAGAUUUCGGAUGCGAAUAGUAUUCGGAUGAGACAUUACCCAAAGAAAAAGCACCGGCUAACUCUGUGCCAGCCGCCGCUGUAA
rnacentral:rRNA from 1 species